rnacentral:hammerhead_ribozyme from 1 species
AUCCAGCUGACGAGUUCGAAAUAGGAAGAAACGUAAGUGCUGGAU